CUUCAACUGAGAGGGGUCGCUGUCCCCUGAAACAUGGACCAAGAUCUAUCCACUUCAACUGAGAGGGGUCGCUGUCCACUGAAACAUGGACCAAGGUCCAGUCUUCUUGCCCCUUAAAUAUUGUCAUACUUGAUGAGGACUCAUCCUCUUCCAUGGUAGGUGAUCUGCAGAGAAGAGAUGACUAAGCCUUGCUCACACUGUAGGCCUUAAUGUUCAAAUCAGUUUUGUAUUUUAAAUCCCUUUUUCGGAAUACUGGUUUUCCAAACAUCAACUUACAAGUGACCAAAUCGGAUCUUCUGUGUGUGUUCAGACAGUUAUUUGUUGGCACGGCUACGCUAGUUGUCAUAGUAACGACGGGUGUGUGCGCAAUGGUGUAGGCUGAUUGGUGGCGCUCGACGAGCAGGUGUCCGCAUACUUUUGGUCAUGCAGUGUAUUUCCCUCAGAUUACACAGACCCACAAAGAAUUAGAAAACAAACUUUACAUUAAAACAUAAGAAAUUAUAUACAUAUCUCAAUAUACUUAUUUUCUAAAAAUCACACUCUUACUAAAUAUGAUUUUUUUGUAACAGAAAAAUUACAGACAAACUCACGUCAAACUCUGUAGCUCUCACCGGCCACAGAGGAGAUAGUCCUGUCCAGCCCUCUCUCCAUCUCUCACGAUCAGAGGGUUACUGGUAUCAAUGGCUACCACAUACCGCUGGAAGAGGGAGGGAGAGAGGGAGAGAGAGCAAGAGAGAGGGGUUGGGGAGAGAGAGUCAGUCACUCUGCACCGUCUGUAUUAGUAUUAGUCUGUAUUAGUAUGUCUAUAUUAGUAUUAGUCUGUAUUAGUAUUAGUCUGUAUUAGUAUUAGUCUGUAUUAGUAUUAGUCUAUAUUAAUAUGUCUAUAUUAGUAUUAGUCUGUAUUAGUAUUAGUCUGUAUUAGUAUUAGUCUAUAUUAAUAUGUCUAUAUUAGUAUUAUUCUGUAUUAGUAUUAGUCUGUAUUAGUAUUAGUCUGUAUUAGUAUGUCUAUAUUAGUAUUAGUCUGUAUUAGUAUUAGUCUGUAUUAGUAUUAGUCUAUAUUAAUAUGUCUAUAUUAGUAUUAUUCUGUAUUAGUAUUAGUCUGUAUUAGUAUUAGUCUGUAUUAGUAUUAGUCUAUAUUAAUAUGUCUAUAUUAGUAUUAUUCUGUAUUAGUAUUAGUCUGCAUUCGUAUUAGUAUUAGUCUGUAUUAGUAUUAGUCUGUAUUAGUAUUAGUAUGGUAUUAGUAUUAGUCUGUAUUAGUAUUAGUCUGUAUUAGUAUUAGUCUGUAUUAGUAUUAGUAUUAGUCUGUAUUAGUAUUAGUCUAUAUUAG
rnacentral:lncRNA from 1 species